GAUGAACGCUGGCGGCGUGCCUAAUACAUGCAAGUCGAGCGAACGGACGAGAAGCUUGCUUCUCUGAUGUUAGCGGCGGACGGGUGAGUAACACGUGGAUAACCUACCUAUAAGACUGGGAUAACUUCGGGAAACCGGAGCUAAUACCGGAUAAUAUUUUGAACCGCAUGGUUCAAAAGUGAAAGACGGUCUUGCUGUCACUUAUAGAUGGAUCCGCGCUGCAUUAGCUAGUUGGUAAGGUAACGGCUUACCAAGGCAACGAUGCAUAGCCGACCUGAGAGGGUGAUCGGCCACACUGGAACUGAGACACGGUCCAGACUCCUACGGGAGGCAGCAGUAGGGAAUCUUCCGCAAUGGGCGAAAGCCUGACGGAGCAACGCCGCGUGAGUGAUGAAGGUCUUCGGAUCGUAAAACUCUGUUAUUAGGGAAGAACAUAUGUGUAAAUAACUGUGCACAUCUUGACGGUACCUAAUCAGAAAGCCACGGCUAACUACGUGCCAGCAGCCGCGGUAAUACGUAGGUGGCAAGCGUUAUCCGGAAUUAUUGGGCGUAAAGCGCGCGUGGGCGGUUUUUUAAGUCUGAUGUGAAAGCCCACGGCUCAACCGUGGAGGGUCAUUGGAAACUGGAAAACUUGAGUGCAGAAGAGGAAAGUGGAAUUCCAUGUGUAGCGGUGAAAUGCGCAGAGAUAUGGAGGAACACCAGUGGCGAAGGCGACUUUCUGGUCUGUAACUGACGCUGAUGUGCGAAAGCGUGGGGAUCAAACAGGAUUAGAUACCCUGGUAGUCCACGCCGUAAACGAUGAGUGCUAAGUGUUAGGGGGUUUCCGCCCCUUAGUGCUGCAGCUAACGCAUUAAGCACUCCGCCUGGGGAGUACGACCGCAAGGUUGAAACUCAAAGGAAUUGACGGGGACCCGCACAAGCGGUGGAGCAUGUGGUUUAAUUCGAAGCAACGCGAAGAACCUUACCAAAUCUUGACAUCCUUUGACAACUCUAGAGAUAGAGCCUUCCCCUUCGGGGGACAAAGUGACAGGUGGUGCAUGGUUGUCGUCAGCUCGUGUCGUGAGAUGUUGGGUUAAGUCCCGCAACGAGCGCAACCCUUAAGCUUAGUUGCCAUCAUUAAGUUGGGCACUCUAAGUUGACUGCCGGUGACAAACCGGAGGAAGGUGGGGAUGACGUCAAAUCAUCAUGCCCCUUAUGAUUUGGGCUACACACGUGCUACAAUGGACAAUACAAAGGGCAGCGAAACCGCGAGGUCAAGCAAAUCCCAUAAAGUUGUUCUCAGUUCGGAUUGUAGUCUGCAACUCGACUACAUGAAGCUGGAAUCGCUAGUAAUCGUAGAUCAGCAUGCUACGGUGAAUACGUUCCCGGGUCU
rnacentral:rRNA from 1 species